UAGACAAAUUAUUGUAUUCGACUGUAUUCACGGUAUGAAACAGGGGAUUACACUGUUUUUAAACGGAAAAUAAGUUAAUUGACAUAAUAGACUCCU
rnacentral:pre_miRNA from 1 species